AUUGAACGCUGGCGGAAUGCUUUACACAUGCAAGUCGAACGGUAGAGGGGGCAACCCCUCGAGAGUGGCGAACGGGUGAGUAAUAUAUCGGAACGUGCCCAGUCGUGGGGGAUAACGUAGUGAAAGUUACGCUAAUACCGCAUACGAUCUAAGGAUGAAAGCGGGGGAUCGCAAGACCUCGCGCGAUUGGAGCGGCCGAUAUCAGAUUAGGUAGUUGGUGGGGUAAAGGCUCACCAAGCCAACGAUCUGUAGCUGGUCUGAGAGGACGACCAGCCACACUGGAACUGAGACACGGUCCAGACCCCUAUGGGAGGCAGCAGUGGGAAUUUUGGACAAUGGACGCAAGUCUGAUCCAGCCAUUCCGCGUGCAGGAUGAAGGCCCUCGGGUUGUAAAUUGCUUUUGUACGGAACGAAAAGGUCUCUCUUAAUACGGGGGGCUCAUGACGGUACCGUAAGAAUAAGCACCGGCUAACUACGUGCCAGCCGCCGCCGUAA
rnacentral:rRNA from 1 species